GUAUCAAAAUGUGGCAAGAAUGUCAAACAGUAAGUGCAACACAAGCUAAUUGUCAGAGAUGAACCAUAAAAAAAGGAAAGGCGGUGCCGAAAAGCUCAGAGAAAGCAAAAAAAGGGCUCUAAAAUCAGACGCUGCCAAAUGCAUAAAAUUAACUGAAAUAUUCUCGAAAGGUUUAAAUUCGGCUGCUGCAUCGGAGGACAGUAGCGCGUAGAGGAGAAUGUUUCUGGACCCAGUGCAGAUAGCUCAGCUGCUGCAGCAGAGUCAAGUAUCAUGGAGGACCUUCACCUGAUCCAAGGCCUGUGGGAGAUCCAUAUAACUUCAGCACAAGCGCUUGGAUACAGUAAAAAGUCACAAAUCCAGUGGCGGAUGUUCUUACCGCCUGUUUUUGCUGCUCAGCAUCUGAAAUCUUUGACUUCCAU